AAAUAAAUUGUUAAGGGAUAUGUAUUAUGAAAUAAUGUAAAUUCAGACAUCAAAAACAUAAAAUGUUGAGGGGGAUAGUAAAAGUGUAGAGUUAUCGU